UACAGAGGUCUCAAGCGUUGUUCGGAUUCAUUGGGCGUGAAGGGUGCGUAGGCGGCGCGGUAAGUCGGGUGUGAAAUCUCGGAGCUUAACUCCGAAACUGCAUUCGAUACUGCCGUGCUUGAGGACUGGAGAGGAGAUUGGAAUUUACGGUGUAGCGGUGAAAUGCGUAGAUAUCGUAAGGAAGACCAGUGGCGAAGGCGGGUCUCUGGACCUUACCUGACGCUGAGGAGCGAAAGCGUGGGGAGCGAACAGG
rnacentral:rRNA from 1 species